rnacentral:lncRNA from 1 species
GCAGAGGCCAUUUAGAAACCACAUCAUAGAGAUUCUUUCCCAACUCAGACCCUAUUUGAAACAUUUAAAAAUACAAAGUUACAGUUAAAAUAGGAGCUCAUCAUCAAAAAAGUAUAAAAUAUAUAAGGAACUCCAUUACUAGGAAAGAAAAUCCACAGAUGGAAUGAGCCAAUGGAACUUGAAAUAGUACUGCAUUCUAAAAAAGCCACAACAUAACUACUUUUAAAUGUCCAAGUCGAUGAAGAAAGAUUCAAAUAUAUGAAUCAGGGAUGAAAGAUUAUAAACCAUGAAAAGGC